rnacentral:rRNA from 1 species
AGCUCCAGUAGCGUAUAUUAAAGUUGUUGCAGUUAAAAAGCUCGUAGUUGGAUUUCUGGUACGCUGCGCCUGGCCCGCCUCGGUUACGAGUGUGUGUGCCGGUGCGCGGUUGCCAUCCUUCUAGAAAACGUAGCUACCCUUCACUGGGCCGGCUGCCGUGAUCUAGAUCUUUUACUUUGAAAAAAUUAGAGUGUUUAAAGCAGGCUUUCGCUAUGAAUACAUUAGCAUGGAAUAAUAAUUUAGGACUUUGGUCUUAUUUUGUUGGUUAUAGGAUUGAAGUAAUGAUUGAUAGGGAUAGUUGGGGGUGCUAGUAUUGAAUGGCCAGAGGUGAAAUUCUUGGAUUCAUUCAAGACUAACUUAUGCGAAAGCAUUCACCAAGGAUGUCUUCUUUAAUCAAGAA